AUUGAACGCUGGCGGCAUGCCUUACACAUGCAAGUCGAACGGCAGCGGGGGAGAAGCUUGCUUUUCCUGCCGGCGAGUGGCGAACGGGUGAGUAAUACAUCGGAACGUGCCCUGUAGUGGGGGAUAACUAGUCGAAAGAUUAGCUAAUACCGCAUACGACCUGAGGGUGAGAUUGGGGGACCGCAAGGCCUCAUGCUAUAGGAGCGGCCGAUGUCUGAUUAGCUAGUUGGUGGGGUAAAGGCCUACCAAGGCGACGAUCAGUAGCUGGUCUGAGAGGACGAUCAGCCACACUGGGACUGAGACACGGCCCAGACUCCUACGGGAGGCAGCAGUGGGGAAUUUUGGACAAUGGGCGAAAGCCUGAUCCAGCAAUGCCGCGUGUGUGAAGAAGGCCUUCGGGUUGUAAAGCACUUUUGUCCGGAAAGAAAUGGCUCUGGUUAAUACCUGGGGUCGAUGACGGUACCGGAAGAAUAAGGACCGGCUAACUACGUGCCAGCCGCCGCUGUAAAAC
rnacentral:rRNA from 1 species